rnacentral:misc_RNA from 1 species
CGUGACGGCUGAGGGGGUAUUUAUACUCCAAACCCUCAAGGAGUAAGCUACGCCAGCAUGGUGAGUGCGACCGCCGAGUACCAAGCCGGGCGACCACGGCCUACGGGGUCCUUGUCCCCAACACCUCAGUGCGACCGCAUCUGGGCCAGCCCCAAGGCUCCCGUGUGCACGUUCUGUUGGCCAGAGCUCCCCUGACCACACCAUGUAGGCGGCGAAAUC